rnacentral:rRNA from 1 species
CCUACGGGGGGCAGCAGUGAGGAAUAUUGGUCAAUGGACGAGAGCCUGAACCAGCCAAGCAGCGUGAAGGAUGACUGCCCUAUGGGUUGUAAACUUCUUUUAUAUGGGAAUAAAAUGUUCCACGUGUGGGAUUUUGUAUGUACCAUCUGAAUAAGGAUCGGCUAACUCCGUGCCAGCAGCCGCGGUAAUACGGAGGAUCCGAGCGUUAUCCGGAUUUAUUGGGUUUAACGGGAGCGUAGGUGGAUUGUUAAGUCAGUUGUGAAAGUUUGAGGCUCAACCGUAAAAUUGCAGUUGAAACUGGCAGGCUCGAGGACAGUAGAGGUGGGCGGAAUGCGUGGUGUAGCGGUGAAAUGCUUAGAUAGCACGAAGAACUCCGAUUGCGAAGGCAGUUCACUGGACUGCCACUGACACUGAGGCUCGAAAGUGUGGGUAUCAAACAGGAUUAGAUACCCGUGUAGUC